AUUGAACGCUGGCGGCAGGCCUAACACAUGCAAGUCGAACGGUAGCACAGAGAGCUUGCUCUCGGGUGACGAGUGGCGGACGGGUGAGUAAUGUCUGGGAAACUGCCUGAUGGAGGGGGAUAACUACUGGAAACGGUAGCUAAUACCGCAUAACGUCGCAAGACCAAAGAGGGGGACCUUCGGGCCUCUUGCCAUCAGAUGUGCCCAGAUGGGAUUAGCUAGUAGGUGGGGUAACGGCUCACCUAGGCGACGAUCCCUAGCUGGUCUGAGAGGAUGACCAGCCACACUGGAACUGAGACACGGUCCAGACUCCUACGGGAGGCAGCAGUGGGGAAUAUUGCGCAAUGGGCGAAAGCCUGACGCAGCAACGCCGCGUGCGGGAUGACGGCCUCGG
rnacentral:rRNA from 1 species